rnacentral:rRNA from 1 species
AGUGAACGCUGGCGGUAGGCCUAACACAUGCCAGUCGAACGGCAGCACAGUAAGAGCUUGCUCUUACGGGUGGCGAGUGGCGGACGGGUGAGGAAUACAUCGGAAUCUACUUUUUCGUGGGGGCUAACGUAGGGAAACUUACGCUAAUACCGCAUACGACCUACGGGUGAAAGCAGGGGAUCUUCGGACCUUGCGCGAUUGAAUGAGCCGAUGUCGGAUUAGCUAGUUGGCAGGGUAAAGGCCCACCAAGGCGACGAUCCGUAGCUGGUCUGAGAGGAUGAUCAGCCACACUGGAACUGAGACACGGUCCAGACUCCUACGGGAGGCAGCAGUGGGGAAUAUUGGACAAUGGGCGCAAGCCUGAUCCAGCCAUACCGCGUGGGUGAAGAAGGCCUUCGGGUUGUAAAGCCCUUUUGUUGGGAAAGAAAAGCAGCAGGUUAAUACCCCGCUGUUCUGACGGUACCCAAAGAAUAAGCACCGGCUAACUUCGUG